AGCAGAAGAAGAAGAAGAGCAAAGCGCAGAAGGCAUGCUCCAUUCU
rnacentral:sRNA from 1 species